rnacentral:lncRNA from 1 species
CAGCAGCUGUAUGUGUUCGAGCUCAGUAUUUACUUAGUCGUUCUGGGCAAGGCACAGCUAGUGGAGAUGAACUUUCGUAUUUUUCCUCUAAUAGUGGGGAACCUCAAAUCCCCAGUUUCACACUGCAGACCAGCACCCACUGUACCUGUUCAGCAGAAUAAGAGACCUAGGCAAAUGACUCAGACUCCUCGUUAGAUUCCGGCAACAGGACACAGUAGGACUUGUUAGCACUAUGGCAAGGAUCAUGGGACUUACUCUACUAUUGUCUCAACA